rnacentral:rRNA from 1 species
GAUGAACGCUGGCGGCGUGCUUAACACAUGCAAGUCGAACGGAAAGGCCCAAGCUUGCUUGGGUACUCGAGUGGCGAACGGGUGAGUAACACGUGGGUGAUCUGCCCUGCACUUCGGGAUAAGCCUGGGAAACUGGGUCUAAUACCGGAUAGGACCACUUCUUGGAUGUUGUGGUGGAAAGUUUUUUCGGUGUGGGAUGAGCUCGCGGCCUAUCAGCUUGUUGGUGGGGUAAUGGCCUACCAAGGCGUCGACGGGUAGCCGGCCUGAGAGGGUGUACGGCCACAUUGGGACUGAGAUACGGCCCAGACUCCUACGGGAGGCAGCAGUGGGGAAUAUUGCACAAUGGGCGCAAGCCUGAUGCAGCGACGCUGCGUGGGGGAUGACGGCCUUCGGGUUGUAAACUCCUUUCGCUAGGGACGAAGCGUUUUGUGACGGUACCUGGAGAAGAAGCACCGGCUAACUACGUG